UUCUUCUUCUUCUUCUUUUGCUUCAUUCCUCUUCUGUUCUGUAAUACAUUUGCUCAAUAAUCUGUUGAUAUCUAAAAGAAGGCCACCAUCUGUUCGAUAAAAUUCCUAAAUGGUUCAUGCCAUAGUAGAUAUAUGCGCACGUUAUCAUUUCUUUCCAUUGCAGGAAUUUACUGAACAGAACAGGAGCAGAGAGUUAGCAGCUUCGUCUUCUUUUUACCGCUCCGUGUACUCAGAGAUAGAAGAAAUUGGAUGGGAGCAUCUGGUGAAUUUGGCUGGAGAUCUAAAGCUCAUUAGCUUUCGCAUUGUAGAUAAGAAGGGACGAGUGCAUAUUCUUGAAGUUCAGUUAGAUAAAACGUAUCCAAAAUGUCCACCUUCAGUUGCUGCAGAUGUACCAUAUAUAUUCAAUGUCAAAUGGUCAAUGAACUCAAGACUGAAAGAUUUGGUGCAGCAGUUCCAGGAACAGCAUUUGGAGAAGCUUCAGGAAUUUUGGUCUACCUUGGAUGAUGUUGAUAAUUCUCUUUGCGUUGUUAAUCUGAAACAGACAUCCCGUGCCACGUCUUUUCGCCAAAUUGAUAUAGGAAAUGACUGUUUCAUAAUGUUAUUUAUAAAUUCCAAAAAUCCUAAAUCUUUACCAGAGUGUCGGUUGUUGGGCUCAGGUCCAUAUGUGAACUCUUUGAUAAAGUUAUGGAAAAGAAAUAGCAAGCAAUGGAUGAAGGACAAAACAAUUCUAGAAAAUCUUACAUCCAUUCUAGAGACCCAACUACCAAAGCCCCCAGAUGUCCAGAAGAAUGAUCAGCAAGUUGAAUGUGGAAUUUGUUAUGCCCAAUGUCUUCCAAUUGAUGAUGAGCUUGGACCCAGGAGUGGGACUGGAACUGACUAUACAUGUGAUAAUAGCAACUGCAACAGGGCAUUCCAUAGUGUAUGUCUUGGGGACUGGUUGCGCUCUAUCACAACAACAAGGCAAUCAUUUAAUGUCCUGUUUGGGAAUUGUCCCUAUUGUUCAGAGCCAGUUGCAGUUAAAAUCGGCAACACAAUCAAGUAAAUCUAGGUUUUUCACUGCAAUCUUGUCGAGCAUCUCUAGGUGAUUAAUUUGUUGGGCGCAUACUUGAAUACAGGAAAACUACGAGUUCCUGAAAGUGAGGCAGUAACAUUUUCUUCUAUAUUCUUUUAAUGUAAAUUCAGCUGUUGUUUAAUCAGUUCAUGAACCCAGCCAAAAGAAUGAAGGAAUUGGCAACAUCAAGAGCAUUAAUUUGAAGCAGCAUCCAAUGUAGCGUCACCACCACCGACCCUUUUUUUUUCUUCCUUUGGCCUUUUCAUUAACUGUGACCUGUGAUGCAAUAAUGAAAUGACGCUUUCAAUUCAUUAUUUUGUUGUACUAACCUUAUCUGUUAGCCCUGUUGACUCGAUUACACCUAUUCAUGGCUUGAUUGGAACCUGCCAAAGGGAUCCAUUUUAUCUCUAGUUACUGAUUUGUUAAUUUUGUGUUGCAGAAUCCUGAUUGAUCUUAUAUUUCUUGGAUUUGUAUACUGUUAGUAGUAUGCCAUAGAGCAUAUCAUUUAGUAUGUAU
rnacentral:misc_RNA from 1 species